CAGUGAUAAAAAGAAGCUCUUAAAAGCAGCCAGAGAAAGACACAUUGUGCAUAAAAGAACAAAAAUAAGGAAGACACUAGAUUUCUCACUAGAAACAGCAAGAAGACCACGAAGCAACGUCUUAGAGGCGCUGGAGGAAUCCACAAGACCCUGUUUCCAAAUAAGAUCACAUGCCCAGUACAAUGGGUUAGAACUUGAACAUGCCUUGUUGGAGGGAAUAGCUCAUCCCGUGACUCUUCUCCUGUCUCCCAGUGGAUGGGGAAGGUCCGGUGGAGCAUUCCAAUAUCCUGGGGAGAGGCCAGAGGUGCUGGAUGAGAGAAGCCUGGAUCCCUGAGUUACCACGGGGAAGACCACCCAGGAAGCAUGUGGCUGAUCUCAGAGAUAAACGACAAAGGAUGGAAAAUGCUAGCAAGAAGCACUAGAUGGACAACACUUUCAUCAGAGCCAUGAUAAACGGACUCAUGAGUGGAAGAUAUGUCUUCCCAGUUCCUCAACUACAAAAGAUGGAAAGUGCUAGCAAGAAACAAGAGGUGGGCAACACCUCCAUCGUGGCCAUGAUAAAUGGACCCAUAAAUGGAAUGUGUGUCACCCCAGUUUCUCUAUGACUUGAAAUAUAAGACCCUUCCUAGUGGGCUGUAGUGAAAAGGUGAAUUUGGGUGUCACAUAGAUGCUUUCCAGGUUGACAAGCAAUUUAACUUCCCUGCACCACAAUUUUGUAACCUAGAAAGUGUGGUUAAUCAUGCCAGCCUUUGAGGAUUUUUAUAAAGAAUAAAUGGU